UACUCUUUAGAGUUAGGGUCUGAUUUUAAUGAUGACUUUAAUAUUUUAUUUAGACCCGUCGACUGUUCGUACUUCAGAAGCGAACCAGAGUUAGAUUGCUUGUCAAGUUUCACGUGGAAUAGCAAGCAGUUUAUGAUUUGAGCUUUGGUCGAUCUCCGUUUCUUCAUUUCCGGAGGUUUUUAUUUUAUUUUCAGAAAUAAAGAGUCGAACUGUUUUAAACUCUUAGACCGCAGUAGUAGUAUAGAUUAAUUAUGAUUAGUCUUUUAUUAUAUUUUCAGACUAUUGAUUGUUAGUGAUUACUUUAUCGUUUUUGGCAUGAUUACAGUAUUUAUGGUAUUUAUAUUAUAUUGCCAUACUGUUGGAGUUAUAAUUUCAGAUAA